UUUACUCAUGCUGUAACUUUUUAAUGCAAUGUGUAGAUAUGCAACAACUCACAGCGACGACUUGAGAUCUUUCAAGUCAAGGUUAAAACAUCAAUUUUAUUAUUUUUACUUCUGCUGAGGAUAAUUACAUUUGUCUGCCUUCCCUUGGUCCUCAUUUUGUUGUAUGUGUAUAUACUACUUUUCCUACAUUUACAUUUCACAAUCACAACCAAUCUCAAACUCUCCAAAUUUUACAAUCUUCUGAUCUGCUAAUUGCCUUGUGUGUCUCUUUUUGAAGGAUGGCUGAACAAAUUCCAUACAGUGUUGCUACAAGUCUCGUUAACAGGUGACUUCAUUUUCAACACUUUUUUUUCAGUUAAAUUAGUUAAACUAACUAUAUAUAUAUAUAUAUAUAUAUAUAUAUAUACACACAUAUAUGCUACUAAUUUACACUCAUCUAAAAAUACUAAGGCCUUGUUUACGACUUUAGAGAAGAAGGAGAGACGAAAAGAAGUUUGAAAAAAAUGAAAGAGUAAAUCAUCGACCUAAACCUACACCUAUUAGUUUUUUUUACCAUAAACCAAUCUUUCUUUAAAACAACUAAUGGGUAUAUAUGUAAUUUUCAUUUUUUUAAAUCAAAUAUUUAAUUCAUCCCAAACUUGUUUAAUAACACCGGAAAAGUAGGAAGCGUCGCUUCCUUCAUAUAUUUGUUUCAACGUCACACAUCACGUAAAUAUGCUUAGUUUUUUUUUUUUUUUUUUUUUAAAUAUGAGUUUUGUUGCAAUAUAUGAGUUCUCAUGUUGUCCUAAUUUCAUUUGAGCUCACUUUCAGUUUUCAAUCAAGCUACUGCUUGAUAAUUUUUCUUUUGAAAUAUACAUGUUCGUAAAAGAAGUUAAUGUGCUUUCAAAGGGGAAGGAUCUAGGAAUACAUUUUAAGUAUGGCUAAACAUUUUUUAUUUUUUAUUUUUUAAAUUCAUGUGUAGCUAUAACCAUACAUAGACAUGAUGCAGAUCUGCCCGACUUUCAACAACAAAAAAAAGUUAAUGUGCUAAAAAAUGUUAGAAGAACAAAACACUAACGUGAGUAACACACAAGAUUUAUAAAAAUGUAAUUGUAACAUGAGAGAUAAAUUUUUAAGAAAACAAUAUUCUGAACGAUGAAAGUGUGUGUAAAUAACCAGCAAGGUGGAUAUAAAUAAUUAAGCGGGUGUAUGUUACUAAGUUACUUUUUAGGUAGAUGUAAGUUGCUAAUCUACUCUAAUGUUUUUAAGUAGGUGUAAAUUAUAUAUAUAUAGACACACACAUCACAGAGCUUGUUUGCUGAAUAUUUUCUUUACGUAGGUUGGCUUCU
rnacentral:lncRNA from 1 species